UGGGAUGUGGGGUACAGAAGAGAAAAAAGGGAGGGGAGGGGGGUGGGGUACAUCACAAAGUCGUUCAAUAUUUCACACAGCUGGUUACACGUUACAUACAACAUGUCGGUGAUUCUCAAAUUCUGUCUAUGGUGACGACUAGGGAAGAUGAGACUUUGGCCCCGGGGAGUGUAAGGGAAGGAUCAAUAACCGGGAGUGUUGACAUGUCUUGUCAAACUUUGUUGAAAUAUACCGGAUGGGGUGUCACUUAAGCGCGUGUUGUCAGUGUGUGUCAUCUACCCUGGGGAAAAUUCGAGCAUGUUUUGCACGGCUGUGGGUCCCUAUAUAUCUAUAUCAGAGCGGAGCCCCCGUUCAGAACUGACAGCUGGUUGUUGCGGAUAGGAAGAGGUUGCUCUGUUCUAGAUAUUGACCUAUGGUGCUCUAAGAAGGGCUUGGUCUAUGCAGUCUUGGGUAGGUUGCGCCAUUUGCUGUUGGUUUGUGUAUAUAUUAGCUCAUGGUGCCCAGGUUUCUCGUAGUACCUGUGAUUGUCUGGGGGUGGUUGUGGCCAUACGUUCAUACGUAUAGUAUAGAUGGAUUUUAUCUAGCAGUUGUUGCCUAGAGGGGCAGAUGCCUUGUUUCCAGUUAGUCGCAAUAAGGUUCCUGGCCGCCAGUAUGGUAAGUAUUGCUACUUGUUUUAGUGGUUUGGGUAGGGGAGCGGGGAACAAUAGGAAUAAGCAAACUGAUGGGGUGAGGGCAAUAUUCUCAACAUUGAGAGAUUUGAGGACGCUGCUCACAUGUCGCCAAAGCGGGGUCAGUACAGGGCAUUCCCACCAAAUGUGUAUCAUUGUGCCUUCCGCGUUUUCACAUCUCCAGUAUUGUGCUGUGACUGUGGGGUAGAUUUUAUGCAACCUACUGGGUGUUAGGUACCACCUGAAAAUCAGUUUUUUGUGAGCUUCUACGUGGGAGUAGCAGUUGGUGACCCCUUUAAGUGCAUUAAGAGAAUGUAACCAUGCAUCUCCCAAUGGGGAAGAGGUAUGUUCUGCUCACCAUUGUUUUUCAUAAGGAAAGGGUGCGGUGGUGGUGUUAUAUAGUAGUGAGGCGUAGCAUAGAGAUAGAGACUUAGGCUUGGUGGGCGCUUGCCAACAUCUGUCAUGUAUGGUGUUUAGAGGGUGAUGGUCGUAGGGUGCAACAUCCGCUUGUGUGAGGAUUUUAUGGGCCGCAAUACUUUUAAGUUGGAGGUAUUGGAAAACGGAAGAGUUCGAUAGUCCAUAUUUCUUUUGGAGGUCUGGGAAGGGCAUGAGCUGUUGGCCGUGGUAAGUGUCUGCUAUGUGUGUGAUACCUUGUUUCUUCCAAGAGGUCCACGUCAAUCCUGGGGCUAGGGAACUUAGGGCCGCUAGUGGGGCUCUCGGAUGAAAUUUGUUAGCUGUGAUCUUAGAGUGGUGUAGGGUGUCCCAUUGGUUCAACGUGAGGACUGAGGUGUGGAACAGGUGGGGUGUGCGUGGUCGGAAGUGCGGGGGCGUCCA